rnacentral:rRNA from 1 species
UACGGAGGGGGCUAGCGUUGUUCGGAAUUACUGGGCGUAAAGCGCACGUAGGUGGCUUUGCAAGUUAGAGGUGAAAGCCCGGGGCUCAACUCCGGAAUUGCCUUUAAAACUGCAUCGCUAGAAUUGUGGAGAGGUAAGUGGAAUUCCGAGUGUAGAGGUGAAAUUCGUAGAUAUUCGGAAGAACACCAGUGGCGAAGGCGACUUACUGGACACAUAUUGACGCUGAGGUGCGAAAGCGUGGGGAGCAAACAGG